rnacentral:rRNA from 1 species
CCUAGUUAAUUUUACUAGUAAUUAUAUACUUAUCUUAAAGAUUAAGCUAUGUAUAUUUAAGUAUAAGUAAUUAUAUAGUAAAACUAUAAAUAGCUUAUUAUAUAAGUUAUUAUUUAUUUAAUAGUACCUUAUUACUUAAAUAACUAUAGUAAUUCUAAAGCUAAUAUAUACUAAAAAUCCUAACUUUAGAAGGGAUAUAUUUAUUAGAUUAAAAACCAAUGCCCCCUAGGCUCUCUAGUGAUUUAUAAUAACUUCUUAAAUCACAUAGCCUUAUACUAGUAAUAGUUUAUUUAAAUUUCUUCCCUAUUAACUUUUAAUAUUUAGGUAGUAGCUAAACAUAGUUAUAAUAGGUAACAAAGGGUUAGGGCUUAACCCUAGAGAAGGAGCCUAAGAAAUAGCUACUAUAUUUAAGGAAGGCAGCAGGCGCGCAAAUUACCUAAUCCUAAUUUAGGGAGGUAAUGACAAUAAAUACUAAUAUAGGGCUCUUUUAGGUCUUAUAAUUAGAAUAAGUAUAAUUUAAAUCCCUUAAUAAGGAAUAAUUAGAGGGCAAGUCUAGUGCUAGUAGCCGCGGUAAUUCUAGCUCUAAUAGCGUAUAUUAAAGUUAUUGUGGUUAAAAAGCUUGUAGUUAAACCUUAGGCCUAGCUAGCUAGUCUGCCUUACUGCGUGUACUAGUUUAGCUAGGCCUUUCCCUCUGUAAAACCCUAUGCCCUUUACUAGGCGUAGUAAGGAAAUAGGACUUUUACUUUAAAAAAAUUAGAGUGCUUUAGGUAAGCCUAUGCUUAAAUAUAUUAGUAUAAAAUAAUAAAAUAGGACGCGUGGUUUUAUUUUAUUAGUUUCUAGGACUGCUAUAAUAAUUAAUAGGGAUAGUUAGGGGCAUUAGUAUUUAAUUAUUAGAGGUAAAAUUCUUGGAUUUAUUAAAGACUAACUACUAUAAAAGCAUUUGCUAAGGAUGUUUUUAUUAAUUAGGAACAAAAGUUAGGGGAUUAAAUAUAAUUAAAUACUAUUAUAGUCUUAACUAUAAACUAUGCUAACUAGGGAUUAGAUAAUGUUAUUUUUUAACUUAUUUAGCACCUUAUAAGAAAUCAAAGUGCUUAGGCUCUAGGGGGAGUAUAGUUAUAAGGCUAAAACUUAAAGAAAUUAAUAGAAGGGCACUACUAGGGGUAAAGCCUAUAGCUUAAUUUAACUUAACAUAGGGAAACUUACUAGGUCUAGACACAAUAAGGAUUAAUAAAUUAAGAGCUCUUUCUUGAUUUUAUAGGUGGUGGUCAGAGUAUUGCACUAAAACGUGUAGUGUAGUGUAGUAUUUGUAGUGUAGUGUAGUAACUACACUACAAACUACACUACACUACAAACUACA